rnacentral:tRNA from 1 species
GGGGAUAUAACUCAGUUGGUAGAGUGUGUGCUUUGCAAGCAUGAAGUCAAGAGUUCAAAUCUCUUUAUCUCCU